GAUUAACGCUGGCGGCGUGCCUAACACAUGCAAGUCGAGCGGCAGCGAGUUUUACACUGAAUUCUGGAAGCUUCUAGUUGAAAGAGAAGAUUUAUUCAAGAAUUUUUUGUAAAAUGUCGGCGAGCGGCGGACGGCUGAGUAACGCGUGGGAACGUACCCCAAAGUGAGGGAUAACGCAUCGAAAGGUGUGCUAAUACCGCAUAUGGUCUUCGGAUUAAAGCCUUCGGGCGCUUUGGGAACGGCCUGCGUAAGAUUAGAUAGUUGGUGGGGUAAUGGCCUACCAAGUCGACGAUCUUUAACUGGUUUGAGAGGAUGAUCAGUCAGACUGGAACUGAGACACGGUCCAGACUCCUACGGGAGGCAGCAGUGAGGAAUCUUCCACAAUGGGCGAAAGCCUGAUGGAGCAACGCCGCGUGCAGGAUGAAGGCCUUCGGGUUGUAAACUGCUUUUAUAAGUGAGGAUUAUGACAGUAACUUAUGAAUAAGGAUCGGCUAACUACGUG
rnacentral:rRNA from 1 species